GUCAAACAGCUGUUGUCGUCCAAUCAGAUUUCAGAUACGACUGCUUAAAUCAAGCACGAAGCUGUUCUGCCUGGGAAAAUAGUUUGUUUUGGUGCUCCCAUUGUAAUCACAGAAUUGUGACGGGAUUGGUUUAGUUCUGAUCGCUGCAUUAGGACACAAUCCCCGGCUCAGCGAGCGUCAGUUUGUCAUGGCAACAGUAAGCGGCGGUUCAGUUUGAGAAUCGGAGCCAGAUCAACCGCAGUUUGAACAAGUAAUAAAAAGAGGCCUUAAUUAUCCCUUGUCUCUCGGUUGUGCCUUGUCCAGGUGCUUUGUUUUGCAUUUGCAUUAAUCCAAAGGCAAGCCUGCUGUACUUAGCACAACGCGUGCCAGUUCUGAUUUAAUAAAAUACGACUGGAGCAAUAGCUGUGAUUUAAUGCUGGCCUGCAGGCCUCAUGGAUCAAUCUCCCAUCUAAUCCAGAUUUGACUGGGAGCGGAGCGAUAGAAUCUCAUUCCGCGCUAAAGCCAAAACCGGCGAGUCUUACGGGAUUUAGUGUCGUCUUUUCCGGAGGAUCUGGACUUUUGAGAGAAACCACCUUGUUACUCAACAGAUGGGCACCAAGACAACAGAUGCCAGGUGUUUGGGUUCAUCACUAAUUCAUAUAAUUUGGAGCCCCCCCCCCCCUGCCCACAUAGUGAUGACGUGCUCAUGAUGGACUGCCUGCGGGGGCCUUCCCAGAAACCACUGGCUUAGGAGAUGGUCCCGGUGUCUCAGACAGUAAUCGUCCCUGUCCAGACAGUGUAUUUUCUGUGAUAAUGGAGCGCGGCGGGUCAAUAGGCAUGCAUAAUGAAUGGAUGAGGAAGUGGGGUCCAUGUGCUGCUGAGAGCUCGGAGAGGAAGGAAGGCCGUUAACGUCUCGAGAGCAGACCCUGCGGGGAGAACUCCUCCCACGCCGGCGGCGAGCUGCGAGCAACAUCGGCGUUGGAAGGCUGCUUCUGACUGUCACAUGACACUAGUUAACCCAAACCAGAAACGAAACUUCUGCAAACUGAUUCAGUGGCUCGUUAUCGCCACAAAGAAGAGGUGAAUCCGGCACCCUGUUGCCUACUAAAUGUGUAAUCGCGUAACUGAAUUUUUUUUUUUUUUACAGC